rnacentral:rRNA from 2 species
AAUGACGCUGGCGGCAGGCCUAACACAUGCAAGUUCGAGCGGAUGAAGGGAGCUUGCUCCUGGAUUCAGCGGCGGACGGGUGAGUAAUGCCUAGGAAUCUGCCUGGUAGUGGGGGAUAACGUCCGGAAACGGGCGCUAAUACCGCAUACGUCCUGAGGGAGAAAGUGGGGGAUCUUCGGACCUCACGCUAUCAGAUGAGCCUAGGUCGGAUUAGCUAGUUGGUGGGGUAAAGGCCUACCAAGGCGACGAUCCGUAACUGGCUGAGAGGAUGAUCAUCCACUGGAACUGAACGGCCAACUCCUACGGGAGGCGCAUUGGGGUA